rnacentral:sRNA from 1 species
UAUCUCUCUGUACAGGGAAGGAUGAGAAGCUUCGAUUAAGGUUAGACUCGAACGGAAGCGAGAGAACGUUGCCAACGGCAACGGCCCGAAGGGCGCGACGCGCCGAGUCAUCCUUCCCCCACCACAA